rnacentral:rRNA from 1 species
GUGGGGAAUAUUGGACAAUGGGGGGAACCCUGAUCCAGCCAUGCCGCGUGUGUGAAGAAGGCCUUUUGGUUGUAAAGCACUUUAAGCGAGGAGGAGGCUUACCUGGUUAAUACCUGGGCUAAGUGGACGUUACCCACAGAAUAAGCACCGGCUAACUCUGUGCCAGCAGCCGCGGUAAUACAGAGGGUGCGAGCGUUAAUCGGAUUUACUGGGCGUAAAGCGCGCGUAGGUGGUUAAUUAAGUCAAAUGUGAAAUCCCCGAGCUUAACUUGGGAAUUGCAUUCGAUACUGGUUAGCUAGAGUAUGGGAGAGGAUGGUAGAAUUCCAGGUGUAGCGGUGAAAUGCGUAGAGAUCUGGAGGAAUACCGAUGGCGAAGGCAGCCAUCUGGCCUAAUACUGACACUGAGGUGCGAAAGCAUGGGGAGCAAACAGGAUUAGAAACCCUAGUAGUCC